rnacentral:rRNA from 1 species
CCUACCCUCGGGUGGGGGAUAACCUCGGGAAACUGAGGCUAAUACCCCAUAGGCCUCGGAUACUGGAAGGUUCCGAGACCGAAAGCUCCGGCGCCCGAGGAUGGGUCUGCGGCCUAUCAGGUAGUUGGUGGUGUAAAGGACCACCAAGCCUACGACGGGUACGGGCCCUGAGAGGGGGAGCCCGGAGAUGGACUCUGAGACACGAGUCCAGGCCCUACGGGGCGCAGCAGGCGCGAAACCUUCGCAAUGCGCGAAAGCGCGACGAGGGGAGCCCGAGUGCCCUUCCUUUCGGGAGGGCUUUUCUGGAGCCUAAAAAGCUCCAGGAAUAAGGGCUGGGCAAGACGGGUGCCAGCCGCCGCGGUAAUACCCGCAGCUCGAGUGGUGACCACUAUUAUUGAGCCUAAAGCGUCCGUAGCCGGACCCGUAAAUCCCUGGGUAAAUCCUGGCGCUCAACGUCAGGAAUUCCGGGGAGACUGCGGGUCUUG